AAUCAGAAGCAGGCAUUUCUAAGAAGGCUCACCUCUUAGACAUGCAAUGCACAUGGCCCACAGGGUCUCCUAGAGAACAUAAAAUGGUAGCUCGUGUCAUCAGGCAUCAGCAGUGGCAGCAUAGCCCAGAGUUUGAAGAUGUGCUCUGGAAUUACUCUGCUGUGCAUCCAGUGUCUGGUUGAGCACAGAUACCUUAACAAACAUUUCCCUAUGGCUCAAGAAGACCUUCCUCUUCAGGAUUGAGUCUUGCAAGUUUUUUCUAUGAAACCUUACAGCAGAAUCUAAUAAGAUCAUUAUCUAUAAGCCUACAGUGAAGUGCUUUCCUUCAUCUUUUGACCUGAAUUAGAUGACAAACCCUUCUAGGCUCCAAUAUGGUGCCAUCCAGCUUCACUGUGCUUCCUUCAGAACUUGGAUAUCUACCAGUUGAACUUUGAUCUGUGUGAAGAUUCCUGUUCCUAAGCACUUGGUCCCACGAUCCUCUUCUGUAUCCAGGUUUGAUUCCUCUGGAUUUGCUUACAGAGCUGGUCUCCUUCGUACCCAGGAAUCAUCUGAGUUUCUACUUCAAGCAUUGACUCAGCUCUGAUGGGAACACUGUGACUAGUCCUGCCUUGGAUACCCAACACUAAAAUCUGACUGGCCUAAGACACCCGCCACCUGCAGGAAGGGACAUCAAAUCAUGACCAUGAUAACUUAGCUGGUUUGGAUAUUAGAAUCGCCAAUGGCAAGCUUCCAUCUGCUCUGAAUUCUCUUCCUAGUCUCAUUGAAAUUCCCCUUUGCCUUCUGUGA